rnacentral:rRNA from 1 species
CCUACGGGAGGCAGCAGUCGAGAAUCAUUCACAAUGGGGGAAACCCUGAUGGUGCGACGCCGCGUGGGGGAAUGAAGGUCUUCGGAUUGUAAACCCCUGUCAUGUGGGAGCAAAUUAAAAAGAUAGUACCACAAGAGGAAGAGACGGCUAACUCUGUGCCAGCAGCCGCGGGAAUACAGCGGUCUCAAGCGUUGUUCGGAAUCACUGGUCGUAAAGCGUGCGUAGGCUGUUUCGUAAGUCGUGUGUGAAAGGCGCGGGCUCAACCCGCGGACGGCACAUGAUACUGCGAGACUAGAGUAAUGGAGGGGGAACCGGAAUUCUCGGUGUAGCAGUGAAAUGCGUAGAUAUCGAGAGGAACACUCGUGGCGAAGGCGGGUUCCUGGACAUUAACUGACGCUGAGGCACGAAGGCCAGGGGAGCGAAAGGGAUUAGAUACCCUAGUAGUC